UACGUAGGGACCAAGCGUUGUCCGGAAUCAUUGGGCGUAAAGAGCGUGUAGGCGGCUUGUUAAGUCUUGCGUGAAAUCUCGGGGCUCAACCCCGAGCGGUCGUGAGAAACUGGCAGGCUAGAGUGCGGGAGAGGAGAGUGGAAUUCCUGGUGUAGCGGUGAAAUGCGUAGAUAUCGGGAGGAACACCUGUGGCGAAAGCGGCUCACUGGACCACAACUGACGCUGAGGCGCGAAAGCUAGGGGAGCAACAGG
rnacentral:rRNA from 1 species